CUUGUAGACAUAUAUCAUGAUUUGAGAGAUUAUUUCUCUGCUAUACAACUACUUUUCGUUAUUUAGUUUGAUGUUUCUGUUUUGCUGACAUUAAUACGUGUUUCUAUUCAUGAUUCGAUAUGUUAUAUAAGAUAAGGGAUGUACGGAAUCAUCUUUUUUAAAUGAUUAGUUGUAACUUGAAUGUGACUUGAUGGCAGUUACCUAACGUGUGGUAUGAAGUGGUAAUUUACCAUUGUUUUGGAAA
rnacentral:lncRNA from 1 species